GGGAUUGGAUUUAGACACAACCCAACAUGGGUUUGGAUGAGCUUUGGCCCAAUGCGGGUUCGCAUGCGCGUAAGCCCAACACAAGCUCAGAUUAGCAUCGUUCCAAUGUGGGUUCGUAUACGCAUAAGCCCAACGUAAGUUCGGAUGGGCAUUGGCCCAAUACAAGUUCGCAUGCGCGUAAACCCAAUGUGAGUUCUGAUGUGCACCGCCUAACACGGGUUCGAAUAUGCACCACUCAACGCAGGUUCACAC
rnacentral:lncRNA from 1 species